ensembl:lincRNA
UGCUGCCUCCCCUCCUGACCACCUGCCCUCCUUCGGCAGCUGCCUCCCUGGCUUUCCUCGGGUCCCUCCGCAGUGUGAGGCCCUCGAUGGGUCCCUCUGGGUCGCCUCCCUGAGGUCUAGGGUCCCAAACUGGAAGAGGCCUUGGGGAGCCAGGAGACAGCUCUGUCCUUCACACCCCAGGAAACGGGGGCCCACAGGCUGAGGGAGUCAUGCGGCCUGCGGAAGGAGACAAAGGCCUGUCUCUGAUUCCUGUCUAUGCUGGUUUCUGGGGUGGGCAGUGCCUCCUCCAUGCCCAGCCGUGCCCAGGAGGAUGGAGGCGCAAGCUGGUCUCUUUGCUAACUCACCUUCCUGCCACGCCCAGCAGCCGGUGCCCGGGGCGCUGUGCAGCGGGAGGGACCCACCGGAGGGGACCCAUGGAGGGUCUCUAAUUUGCUGCUGCUGCCCCUUGAUGUCCAGGGAAAACAGGCCUCCUGUGCCCGAGAAAUUUCCAAGCAUAAACAGAGGGCCUGCUGGUGCAAACAGGAAGUGGCCUUAGGCUGGAAGCAAACUCCAAAGGGUGUAAACAAGCAAGCACCCCACCUCACCUGCCCCGGGAGCCGAGUAGGGUGGGAGUCGACCCGAGAUGGAGGCCCCAUGGCACCCCACCUCCACCCGCUUCUCCACCGAGCCCCUAAGCACUGGAGAGGCAUGCGAUUUCUCAAGCGCCUUCCGCCAAAGUGGCGAUGCUGUUUCUUGCCCAGCACCAAGUCCUGCAGACUUAGCCCUCAGGCUUCCUCGGGUCAUCUGGUCCCCUCAACCCCCUGGGAAAGGGGCAGCUGGAGGAGGGGGCUGGGCCGCCCAGCUCUAAAGUGGGUGAAGCUCAGGGGUUGAGUGCUUGCCUGGCACACACAAAGCCCUGCAUUGAUCCCUAGCACUGCGAAUCUAAUAAUGAUAAGACACAGCUUCUCAGAGGCCCGGGUGAGCCGGAAAAGAUGGACCCGGGAAUCUGCUAAGCCCCCUCCCACCCACGCACACGCUCAGUUCAAAACCCAAGUUCCGCGCAGGCGUCUGCCUCUCCGCUUGGAUUCUGCAGGGAGAGCUGGGGCCUAGAGAGGCCGAGGGGAAGGAGGGCGCACGGAGAGCAAAGCAAGGUGCUGCCCCGCCCCCCUGUCCUCUGCAGUCCUUUCAGCAUCUUGGGUUCUUCCACUCCCACCUCUUGAAGAUUGCUGGGAGACCAGAUGGAAGACUGGUCUAAUGUCUACAUUUUCUGAAGGCCUUGCUCAGCUUUGGAGUCCUGCUGGGCUGAUCUCCUCCUUCUCCAUCCGUAAUGAUGUCAUCGGUGUCUGCUGAGUCCGGCUGAUACCUCCUUCAGGGAGGACCUGCAGACUGCCCAGCCCUGGGGGUGAGGCUUACUCCAGCUCCUUCACCUGAACAGCAGCCCAGGAAGAGGGGACCCUGCCUUACUCUCCCCCAACUCAGCCCUGGGGCCUAUGACUCCACCUCAGUUAUCCCAUCUCUGAAAUGGGAUAAUAACUCUAGCAACCACGCAGUGGGUGUUCGGAGGUUUGUCUGUUAAUUAGAGAGGGUGCUGGGUGGUCGGCGUCUUGGGAGGGCAGGCCAGCCUGGCUUGGGUGACCACACCCCAAGCCUGUGGUCUCAGCUCCACUGAGAUAAACCACCAAGCCACCCACCUCUAGCUCUACUGCUCCCCUUCCCCGAGCCAGGACACUCUCCAAUAGCCCAAGCAUUGCCUCGGAAGAAAAGCUGAGGACCUACAAAGACUAAGGCAUCAGGCUAACCUUAAGGGAGGACUAAAGAUCAAAUAAAUCAGCCAGCAGAUCUCAG